UCGAGAAUCUUCCACAAUGGGCGAAAGCCUGAUGGAGCGACGUCGCGUGAUUGAUGAAGUCUUUCGGGAUGUAAAGAUCUUUUAUGAAGGAGAAAGGCCGCAAGGCUUGAUAGUACUUCAUGAAUAAGGGGUUGCUAAACUCGUGCCAGCAGCAGCGGUAAUACGAGUGCCCCGAGCGUUAUCCGGAAUUAUUGGGCGUAAAGGGUGUGUAGGUGGCAGUGUUAGUCGUGUGUCAAAGCUCCCGGCCCAACCGGGAAAAGGCAUACGAAACGGCACAGCUCGAGAGUGUGAGGGGUCUAUGGAACUCAUGGUGUAGGGGUGAAAUCCGUUAAUAUCAUGGGGAACACCGAAGGCGAAGGCAGUAGACUAGCACAUUUCUGACACUGAAACACGAAAGCGUGGGUAGCGAAUGGGAUUAGAUACCCUUGUAGUCCCUGAGCGGGCUGGCAAGGCGCAU
rnacentral:rRNA from 1 species